rnacentral:rRNA from 1 species
GUACACUCCUGCGGGAGGCAGCAGUGGGGAAUUUUGGACAAUGGGCGAAAGCCUGAUCCAGCAAUGCCGCGUGAGUGAAGAAGGCCUUCGGGUUGUAAAGCUCUUUUGUCAGGGAAGAAACGGUGAAAGCUAAUAUCUUUUGCUAAUGACGGUACCUGAAGAAUAAGCACCGGCUAACUACGUGCCAGCAGCCGCGGUAAUACGUAGGGUGCAAGCGUUAAUCGGAAUUACUGGGCGUAAAGCGUGCGCAGGCGGUUUUGUAAGUCUGAUGUGAAAUCCCCGGGCUCAACCUGGGAAUUGCAUUGGAGACUGCAAGGCUAGAAUCUGGCAGAGGGGGGUAGAAUUCCACGUGUAGCAGUGAAAUGCGUAGAUAUGUGGAGGAACACCGAUGGCGAAGGCAGCCCCCUGGGUCAAGAUUGACGCUCAUGCACGAAAGCGUGGGGAGCAAACAGGAUUAGAUACCCUGGUAGUCCCAUGA